rnacentral:rRNA from 1 species
ACGCUGGCGGCGUGCCUAAUACAUGCAAGUAGAACGCUGAAGGAGGAGCUUGCUUCUCUGGAUGAGUUGCGAACGGGUGAGUAACGCGUAGGUAACCUGCCUGGUUGCGGGGGAUAACUAUUGGAAGCGAUAGCUAAUACCGCAUAAUAGUAGAUGUUGCAUGACAUUUGCUUAAAAGGUGCAACUGCAUCACUACCAGAUGGACCUGCGUUGUAUUAGCUAGUUGGUGGGGUAACGGCUCACCAAGGCGACGAUACAUAGCCGACCUGAGAGGGUGAUCGGCCACACUGGGACUGAGACACGGCCCAGACUCCUACGGGAGGCAGCAGUAGGGAAUCUUCGGCAAUGGACGGAAGUCUGACCGAGCAACGCCGCGUGAGUGAAGAAGGUUUUCGGAUCGUAAAGCUCUGUUGUAAGAGAAGAACGAGUGUGAGAGUGGAAAGUUCACACUGUGACGGUAUCUUACCAGAAAGGGACGGCUAACUACGUGCCAGCAGCCGCGGUAAUACGUAGGUCCCGAGCGUUGUCCGGAUUUAUUGGGCGUAAAGCGAGCGCAGGCGGUUAGAUAAGUCUGAAGUUAAAGGCUGUGGCUUAACCAUAGUACGCUUUGGAAACUGUUUAACUUGAGUGCAAGAGGGGAGAGUGGAAUUCCAUGUGUAGCGGUGAAAUGCGUAGAUAUAUGGAGGAACACCGGUGGCGAAAGCGGCUCUCUGGCUUGUAACUGACGCUGAGGCUCGAAAGCGUGGGGAGCAAACAGGAUUAGAUACCCUGGUAGUCCACGCCGUAAACGAUGAGUGCUAGGUGUAGACCCUUUCCGGGGUUUAGUGCCGUAGCUAACGCAUUAAGCACUCCGCCUGGGGAGUACGACCGCAAGGUUGAAACUCAAAGGAAUUGACGGGGGCCCGCACAAGCGG